UUAAUGUAUUUGAAACGAGUGAAUAACGUAUUGGUUAAUAUUGAUUUAAAAUUAGCGAAUAUAUAUAAACUAGAUUUUAACCCGCGGUAUACUGCAGAAACAAUUUAUUUUUUAAAGUUAGUAUACAUAAAAGUUUGCAAAUUGUAUAUAUCUAUAAAAUAUUUUUAUUUUAUAA
rnacentral:sRNA from 1 species